rnacentral:rRNA from 1 species
UACGUAGGGUGCAAGCGUUAAUCGGAAUUACUGGGCGUAAAGCGUGCGCAGGCGGUUGUGCAAGACAGAUGUGAAAUCCCCGGGCUUAACCUGGGAAUUGCAUUUGUGACUGCACGGCUAGAGUGUGUCAGAGGGGGGGUAGAAUUCCACGUGUAGCAGUGAAAUGCGUAGAUAUGUGGAGGAAUACCGAUGGCGAAGGCAGCCCCCCUGGGAUAACACUGACGCUCAUGCACGAAAAGCGUGGGGGAGCAAACAGG